rnacentral:lncRNA from 1 species
AAGACACCUGAAACAUCUGCAAAAGAAUUGCUAAAAUCUCCAUGUUGCUUGUGAAUUCUGAAAGUACUUUGGACAAAAUACUGACAAGUCUCUUGUGGAAACCAACCCCGCUCUUCCCAAGAGUUUGACUUAACAGAUCUUUGCACAUAGAGUAUGGUGUGAUUGACCUUAAUUAGCCUUUAACAUAAGAAAUAUUUCUGUAGAUAAGCUCUUGAGUCAAAGGUUCUCACACAUGUUAAUUCUUUGAUUUUCUAGGUUGGGCCGGACACUAAAGGAAGGGUCUCAGGGGAUGAAUACCUUUGAAAGCCUUGUUCCUCUGUGAAAUGUGUUAGAAGUUAAGUCUCUGAGACUUGGGAGAUGAAGAGAGAAGGAAGAAAAGGGGAAGAUGAACACAGACACCAGAACAAGUGUGGCAGAUACAUUUUAAUUAAACUCAUGAAAUGAGAUCCUCAUUCUCUGUGUGGCAGUGUCUGCUAACAUCCCACUCCGGCUUCCAGCCCUGCUGAUGGAGGUCUUCACAGACGGAUGAUGCGUUGUGUCCUAUAGAAGCUCACAAAGUUGUCUG